ACAAACUUGGUCAUUUAGAGGAAGUAAAAGUCGUAACAAGGUUUCCGUAGGUGAACCUGCGGAAGGAUCAUUAUCGAGGGGGCUUGCCCCCGUCAAGAUACCACCCUUUGCCUUUGAGUACCUUCUGUUUCCUCGGCAGGCUCGCCUGCCAAUGGGGACCACAACCAAACCUUUUUGUAUCUGUAGUAAACGUUUUACAAAAUAAAAAAUCAAAACUUUCAACAACGGAUCUCUUGGUUCUGGCAUCGAUGAAGAACGCAGC
rnacentral:misc_RNA from 1 species